rnacentral:rRNA from 1 species
CUCCGGUUGAUCCUGCCGGACCCGACUGCUAUCAGAGUGAGAUUAAGCCAUGCGAGUUAACGUAGCAAUACGUGGCGCACGGCUCAGUAACACGUAGUCAACAUGCCCAGAGGACGUGGAUAACCUCGGGAAACUGAGUCUAAACCGCGAUAAGUGAGGAUUUCUGGAAUGGUUCCUGACUAAAAUCUAUAUGGCCUCUGGAUUGGACUGCGGCCGAUCAGGCUGUUGGUGAGGUAAUGGCCCACCAAACCUGUAACCGGUACGGGCUCUGAGAGGAGGAGCCCGGAGAUGGGCACUGAGACAAGGGCCCAGGCCCUAUGGGGCGCAGCAGGCGCGAAACCUCUGCAAUAGGCGAAAGCCUGACAGGGUUACUCUGAGUGACUUUCGCUAAGAAAGUCUUUUGGCACCUCUAAAAAGGGUGCAGAAUAAGGGGUGGGCAAGUCUGGUGUCAGCCGCCGCGGUAAUACCAGCACCCCGAGUGGUCGGGACGAUUAUUGGGCCUAAAGCAUCCGUAGCCGGUUCUGCAAGUCCCCCGUUAAAUCCAGCUGCUCAACAGAUGGGCCGCGGAGGAUACUACAGAGCUAGGAGGCAGGAGAGGCAAGCGGUACUCAGUGGGUAGGGGUAAAAUCCGUUGAUCCAUUGAAGACCACCAGUGGCGAAGGCGGCUUGCCAGAACGCGCUCGACGGUGAGGGAUGAAAGCUGGGGGAGCAAACCGGAUUAGAUACCCGGGUAGUCCCAGCUGUAAACGAUGCAGACUCGGUGAUGAGUUGGCUUAUUGCUAACUCAGUGCCGCAGGGAAGCCGUUAAGUUUGCCGCCUGGGGAGUACGGUCGCAAGACUGAAACUAAAGCUUCGAGGGGGGGGAGCA